GGGAUCAGUGAUGAUGACUGGUGGCGGACGUCGCGGUGACGACUGCUGGUCUGGAAGGCUGAGGUCCAG
ensembl:snoRNA